CUCUUUCCUUACUUCCUUCCCUUCCCUCGGCUUCCCGCUCUUGCCUCACUCUCAGCGGCUGCCUUCGCCCCUGUCUGCAGACAGCGCCGCUGGAUGCUCCCAGCUGGACUUCAACCCCACUCCUCUCAGUCCCUCUCCCCACUGCCUUCCAGACGCGCCUCUUCCCCGCCCCGCGCCCCUCUCUCCUCUCCCACCCCUGCCCCUCUCCGCGGCGCUCACCCUCCUCAGUCCCAGUUUCUGAAAGGACUCAGCUGAGAAAGGACAACUGGGUUCCGCUUUCCUUAACCCUACACCCUUUAGCUGGAUGCUGUCAGAGGCGAUGGAGAAACGCAAAGGCUACUAGACGCAACAAUAGAAUUACCAUAUUGUUUUUCCUGGUUUGAAAGGACCAGAUGGAAAGAAACUGGGCAAGCCAAUGAAAGUCUCUGGGGAUCAUGGGAAUUGAGUGUCUAUGAAAACCAUAUUCCAGACAAGAAUAUAGUCUAAGGACACAGCAAGAGGCAACAUUUUGGAAGCAGAGGGCAACUCUCACUGGAAACCAAAUCUCCUGGCACCUUGAUCUUGGAUUUUACAGCCUCCAGAACUGAUAGCUGGGAGGCAUUACAUAGUCAUGUGCGAGGUCAAAACUGAGUCACCACCACAACCAAGUUCCAGCUGGCAAGAAGAGGAAAAAUAACACAGAGGAGUUAUGACCAGUGUUGUAAGGAUCUGGCCUAGAAAUGGCAUGCAUCUCUUCCACUAAUAUCCUAUUGGUAAAAAUGUAGUCACAUGGGCACACCACCUAUCUGCAUGGAAGGCUGGGAAAUGUUGAUCGGUAGGGCAGCCAUAUGUGUAGGAAGGAGAAAACAGAAUUUGGUGGAUACCUAGUAGUCUCUGCCAUACCCUUGACCAGAAAUUUUUCUUCUAAAGAAUUUAAUUCUAAAAGUUAUAGACAUUCCCAAAGAUAUACCUGCAAGCAUCACAGCUUUGUGUAUAAUUGCAAAAGUUGAAAUCAACAUGAAUGCCCAAAAUAGUGAAUUAUUUAAACAGAUUAUUACCCAUAUUAUGAAGAAAUACUCUGCAACUCUUAAAAAUAAAUGUAAUGUGCCAGGCGCAAUGGGAUAUGCCUGCAGGCCCAGCUACACGGGAGGCCAAGGCAGGAGGAUCACUUGAAAUCAAGAGUUCAAGUCUAGCCUAGACAACAUAGUGAGACUUGGUCUCUAAAAAAGAAAAAAAAAAAUAAAACUGAUGUAAUGAAUAUAUAAUUACAACAAAAGAGGUCUAACACUAUAGUAGAAAAGUUUGGGGCACUCAUCCCAUUCAUAAUUAUUUUACAUUUAAAUUACUGUUCCUACUUAAGUGGUGAGCUUGGUAACCAUUUUCAUAUCAGGUGAUACUGCUGCAGUAAUCAUAGCUGUUUGAAUCAGGAAUAAUCCCAAUCACAUUUUCUCUUAAUCGUUUAUUAUACUGGGCAUUGGGGUUGCAAGAUAAUGCACAGUCCGAGCUCAAUACAUGUCUUCAUGUACCUGUAUGUAAAUCCCACUUUUAUUCUAAAAUUCUUUGAAUAUUUUGUUUCUUGGAACCCAAUGAUCCUAAGAAAAUUAUGUACUUUUAC
rnacentral:lncRNA from 1 species